rnacentral:tRNA from 1 species
GGUGGCUCAGUGGUAGAGUGCUUGUCUUGCAUGCAUGAGGUCCUGGGUUCAAUUCCUCAGUACCA